rnacentral:rRNA from 1 species
CUACGGGUCGCACCAGUGAGGAAUAUUGCACAAUGGGGGGAACCCUGAUGCAGCAACGCCGCGUGGAGGAUGACGCAUUUCGGUGUGUAAACUCCUUCUAUAUGUCAAGAAAAUGACGGUAGCAUAUGAAUAAGCACCGGCUAACUCCGUGCCAGCAGCCGCGGUAAUACGGAGGGUCAAGCGUUACUCGGAAUCACUGGGCGUAAAGGACGCGUAGGCGGGUUGGAAAGUCAGGUGUGAAAUCCUACAGCUUAACUGUAGAACUGCACUUGAAACUUCUAAUCUAGAGUAUGGGAGGGGGAGAUGGAAUUAGUGGUGUAGGGGUAAAAUCCGUAGAUAUCACUAGGAAUACCUAAAGCGAAGGCGAUCUCCUGGAACAUUACUGACGCUAAGGCGCGAAAGCGUGGGGAGCAAACAGGAUUAGAUACCCGAGUAGUC